rnacentral:rRNA from 1 species
UAAAGUUAGUGGCGGACGGGUGAGUAACGCGUGAAUAACCUGCCCUGUACCGGGGGACAACAGUUGGAAACGGCUGCUAAUACCGCAUAAGCGCACGGUUCCGCAUGGAACAGUGUGAAAAACUCCGGUGGUACAGGAUGGAUUCGCGUCUGAUUAGCCAGUUGGUGGGGUAACGGCCUACCAAAGCAACGAUCAGUAGCCGGCCUGAGAGGGUGAACGGCCACAUUGGGACUGAGACACGGCCCAAACUCCUACGGGAGGCAGCAGUGGGGAAUAUUGCACAAUGGGGGAAACCCUGAUGCAGCGACGCCGCGUGAGUGAAGAAGUUAUUCGUAACGUAAAGCUCUAUCAGCAGGGAAGAAAAUGACGGUACCCGACUAAGAAGCCCUGGCUAACUACGUGCCAGCAGCCGCGGUAAUACGUAGGGGGCAAGCGUUAUCCGGAUUUACUGGGUGUAAAGGGAGCGUAGACGGCACAGCAAGUCUGAUGUGAAAGCCCGGGGCCCAACCCCGGAACUGCAUUGGAAACUGCUGGGCUUGAGUGCAGGAGAGGUAAGCGGAAUUCCUAGUGUAGCGGUGAAAUGCGUAGAUAUUAGGAGGAACACCAGUGG